GCCAUUGUUUCUGGACCUCCAUUUUUAAAUCUUUUCUUUCUCUUCCCGAAGAUAAAGAGCAAUGCUAAUAGUUCUGAGCAAACAUAUUGGGAAGAAAGUUAUGCAAUGUAUAACAGUUGGGCAGGAAGCUGAGAUGAGAAUGCAAGAUGAGAAAAGACAAGGUAAGACAGGGCAGUACCCAAGACCAGGCAUAAGAUGAGCCAGACCCAGAGAGAACCUGGAAGCUGGAUAUAGGGAGAAAAACAU
rnacentral:lncRNA from 1 species